UUUAACUAAGAACACGAUUAUUACUUAUUCAAAUAUGAAAGGGCCAAUUACGUUCGGUUAUGUCGGAUACAUUGGAUAACAAGUGCGACGUUGGACGAGUGGUAAUAACAAAAAGCCAGCAGAUACCAGAAACAGUUAUUUGGGCAGAAAUAAAUAAAGAUUGUAGGAAAAAUCAAGUUGUGGGUUGUUGAGGACAUACAUGAAUCUACACCAAACUAUUUAUAGGCAAUGAGAAGCUUGAGAAAGAAGAUACUAAAGGCUAAACAGCUCCUUUUCAAAUACUCAACCAUUUGUUAUAAGGACGCUUCAGGAAGAACCAAAGUCGGUGUAAUCGAACCAUCAGCUGGACUCCAAAGAGUUCAACAGACUCUCUGAGUGCUCUAUGUGUUCAGCACUUCAUACUCAAACAACGAAACGAACAAAACAUAAUGUGCUGAACACAUAGGCAGCCACAGACUUCAAGCGACAUCUCUCAAAUAUUAAAAUACACACAGCAAUUGCCCGAUGCAUCUCGCUUGUGAAUUUUUCAGACGCCGGGCAGGAUGCAGAUCGCAAUUUCUAUCUUAGAAAUUCUACCACAAUUAUGACUUUAUCUACCACUAUAAAAUUGUGUACCACGGCAACUUUUCUAAUUACUACUGUAACGUGCGAGCACUACUCAGAGGAUUCGCUAUAAUUAUCUUCUCCAGUUGCAGUAUGUAAUGAUUGGUUUGUCUAAUGAUUGGUUGGAUUUAACAUUUUCAGCUUUGCGUUUACGUCCAACUGAAUUAUUGAACAGGUUACAAUUGCAUGCAACAUAACAUUUUUUCCGCAGUUGAAGCAUUUAACCAUACCAUCAUUUUUCUUAAGUAUUUUUGUAGAUUUUCGAGUUUUUUUUGAAAUUUUUUUUCUUCCCCGUGGAUCCGCGCCUGGUAAUGGAUAUACUAUAUUUAUGUAUGUACGUUUAUCUUUAUUUUUCAUUCAAACCAACUUUUUGGUUCUAGUAUUCGUUUUCGCCACAAUAUCAUCAGUACAAUACAAAAAUGUCACUUGUGAAUCUCAUCACCGAGAAAAUUUGAAGCUUGAAAUCAACUUGUGCUACUCUGAUUUAGCGCUAAGGAAAGCUUAUAAAUUAUUACAGUUGAUUUAGAUUAGUGAUGAGGAAUAUUUCACUACCGGUGAUUUUUUCACUGUGAUUGAAAAAUCGCAGAUCGCAACUGCGAUCACUUUUGUAAAUAGCAGUCCUAUCUAUGAAUUGCGAUUGCGAAAGCAGUUUCUUUCUGUGAAUUGUGAUAGCAGCUUAAAGCAUAAAAGUGGCAGAUGUGGUAAAUACGCAUUUGCGAUUUUUCGUUACAGCGGUUUUCAAUUUUAAGCGUAACGUCUUAUGAUUUUUUAUUAAGGACAGGAAAAUUUUCAAGGAAUAUAAACGUAACUGACGUUUGAAGUGGUAAAUGAAAUUAAAAAAAAAAAUCUUUAACCAAUUUAAAGAAACAUUUUCAAAACACACCACAGCCGCUUUUGCGAUGAUUAGUCGUUUAAGAAGUAAUCGAUACUUGCAACUA